rnacentral:tRNA from 1 species
GCCCUUGUAGUGAAAAGGAUUAUCACACCAUCCUUCUAAGUUGGGAUUUCAGGUUCAACUCCUGACUAGGGUA